CCACAGAGAGCUGACUUCCUCUCAUGUAGAAAAUAUGGCAGCACAGACUACAUUUAGACAGGAAGAGGAGGGCAGUACAGAGAGUGAUGGAACUGUCAAGAGGAGGCCCUCAGUGGGUUCCGCAUCUGCCAGGCCUGAAAAUCGGUACGCUGCAAGAGACGAGUGGGGAGCCUUUUAUACUGAAUAGGAGGAUAUUCAAGUUCUGCUUGGCCAAGACACCCAGCUCAUAAGGAAUUUACGUGACCAAGUGCGCCAGCAUGUAUUAUCUAAAUGCUGUGGGGCUUUGGAGGAUAUCACAAGCAGAUACUCGCCCGUUACUGCAAGUCUCUUCACCUGCAUCAAGGCAGCCACUUUUAAACCCUGCUCACAUAUCCUCACCAGCCUCCACCUCUGCGUCAUCCCAGGCCUCGCAACUGCGGUCCCAAGUGUUAGCUGUGUCCUCAGACGAGUCCCAUUCCGUUAAACCUCUAACACCCCAGAGAAUUCGAACUACAGUGCAGGUAAACCCACCUCCUCAGGAGGAUGAGUUAUGGCCUGAUCCACCCCCUCCUGUAUGUCAUGAUAUUCCUUACAGAGCUAGAGAAGAGCGUGAAUUCCCAAUCAGCUAUGCUACUUCCACCAGUCGUUCGAAUCCAGUGCAACUAGUUGCAAGGAAAUCAGUAGCACAGCCCUAUUAUGGACAAGAUGCUCCAGUGUUUGUGAACUCGGUCCAGAAUCCUACAUCCAUGCCUCCCAGAAGGGAUAUCAGGCCUAACCCCGUGUCACAAAAUAUACAGAGCCAGUUCAGUCCACUAUAUCCUUCCCUCACUCGCCCUUCAACCCAAGUUCCAUAUUCUUUACCUCACUCUGCACACUGGUUGGCUGCUCCUCCACCACAUCAGCAUCAAUCCAUGUAUGCUCCUCAAUCAGUGCAACGAACUGAACCAUGGCUUACAUACCCUGAAAUGCCAUACAGUCAGCCACAACCAGCACCUUAUGAGAACUUUCCCACAUUGAUGCCAGUCCAGGAGAAAGUCUAUCUAGGCCCUAAACCACGAAUCCCCAUGUUAAUUCAUCGAGACCCUGCAGAAUUCGCCAGACUGAAGAUGUCAUUGGAAAAUUUACUGCCAGCUGAUGCCACCAAGCUCUUUAAAUACCAAAUAUUGGUGGACCAUCUUAGAUUAGAGGAAGCCUCCCUUAUUGCAGAUUCUUACCUGAACUCUGUCACCCCUUACUCUGACACAAUGGUGGCCUUAAACGAGAGGUUCGGUCAGCUGCAUUAGUUGGCCCUCAAAAAAAUUUGGCCAAGUCAUGGAUGCUCCUGACAUCAAGCGGGUGGAUCAUGAGGCCUUUCAACGGUUUGCACUGCAGAUCAGAGCUCUUGUUGGAAUGCUGGAAACCCUUGGUGUCAGGAAGAAGUGGAGCUCAAAUGUGGCUCCCAUGUCACCAGACUGCUUGGCAAACUACCUCCAGAGUUGCAGGCAGACUUCCGUAGACACCUGUAUUUUCAGUCUGAUUCAGUGUAUA
rnacentral:lncRNA from 1 species